rnacentral:snRNA from 1 species
GGAUGAUCUCACUGGUAAAUCAGUGUUCCCUUUCUUUGUCACUGCUUCAUCUAUAUCUCUCCAAAUUGGCGCAAUUUAUGGAAGAAGACAACCUUAAUUGAUUGGGGAGGGGCAGUCUUCAGUCAAGGGUAGAUGAGUAGCUGUGCUCAGCUCUGAAGAUCCAAAAACAGUACAGAGGUCAAGACUUGAAGAGUAGUUUGUUAUAUUCU